AAAUAAACUGAGGAAUGAUGGGAGGUCGUCACUCACCCGGAGUAACAAAUCAUAUGAGUCUUGGACUCGAAAAGCAUCGCCUUCGACAUCGAAGGCUUCGACGUCGGCCGAUAAGAUGGUCGACCUAAGAAGAGAUCGGGCUACCCAGUAAUCACCGAUGCCCUUCCUGGUGUCCUGGGCUUCAACGUCCAAUGGAGAUCCAUUGGAGGAGAGAUCUCAGCUGGUACGUCAUUCGGCCACGAUGACAUACAUACCAAAAAUUCAGGGGCCGCUCGAACUCCACUGAGAUGAGUAGGCAGAAGGUCAGGGGGCUGCAUCCCCCAGCACAGUAGAUCGGAGCAGCACCACCGCCUUUGCUGGUGCCGAGGACUCUUUCCUCGGAGGAGCACCGCUUGGCCCCCUGGAACCCUCAGCCAC
rnacentral:lncRNA from 1 species